GACGAACGCUGGCGGCGUGCUUAACACAUGCAAGUCGAACGGAAAGGCCCUGCUUUUGUGGGGUGCUCGAGUGGCGAACGGGUGAGUAACACGUGAGUAACCUGCCCUUGACUUUGGGAUAACUUCAGGAAACUGGGGCUAAUACCGGAUAGGAGCUCCUGCUGCAUGGUGGGGGUUGGAAAGUUUCGGCGGUUGGGGAUGGACUCGCGGCUUAUCAGCUUGUUGGUGGGGUAGUGGCUUACCAAGGCUUUGACGGGUAGCCGGCCUGAGAGGGGGACCGGCGACAUGGGUAAUGAGGGAGGGACCAGACUCGAAGGGGGGGCAGUGGGGGGAAUUCUGAAACAGGGGGGGGGCGCGGGUGACGAAAGCGCGCGGGGGGGAAUGCCGGCUUGUGGGUGGAAAACAGCUUCCGCUUGAAACGAAGCGUGGGGGACGGUAAGGGAUAAAGAAGCACCGGCUAACUUCGUG
rnacentral:rRNA from 1 species